UACAGAGGCCACAAGCGUUAGGCGGAAUCACUGGGCUUAAAGCGCGUGUAGGCGGAUGUCUAAGUACCUUGUGAAAUCCCACGGCUCAACCGUGGAACUGCUUGGUAUACUGGAUGUCUUGAGGUGUGCAGGGGCGACCGGAACAGACGGUGGAGCGGUGAAAUGCGUAGAUAUCGUCUGGAACGCCUGUGGUGAAGACGGGUCGCUGGGCACAUACUGACGCUGAGACGCGAAAGCCAGGGGAGCAAACGGG
rnacentral:rRNA from 1 species